rnacentral:rRNA from 2 species
UACGGAGGGUGCGAGCGUUGUCCGGAAUCAUUGGGCGUAAAGGGCGCGUAGGUGGCCUGCUAAGCGUGCGGUGAAAGCUCGGGGCUCAACCCCGAGUCGGCCGUGCGAACUGGUGGGCUUGAGCACUGUAGAGGCAGGCGGAAUUCCGGGUGUAGCGGUGGAAUGCGUAGAGAUCCGGAAGAACACCGGUGGCGAAGGCGGCCUGCUGGGCAGUAGCUGACACUGAGGCGCGACAGCGUGGGGAGCAAACAGG